rnacentral:rRNA from 1 species
UACAGAGGGGGCGAGCGUUGUUCGGAAUUACUGGGCGUAAAGGGCGCGUAGGCGGCCCGCUAAGUCGAACGUGAAAUCCCUGGGCUCAACCCAGGAACUGCGUCCGAUACUGGUUGGCUUGAAUCCGGGAGAGGGAUGUGGAAUUCCAGGUGUAGCGGUGAAAUGCGUAGAUAUCUGGAGGAACACCGGUGGCGAAGGCGGUCGACUGGGCCAGUACUGACGCUGAGGCGCGACAGCGUGGGGAGCAAACAGG